rnacentral:rRNA from 1 species
GGGUUGUGAGGUUAAGCGACUAAGCGUACACGGUGGAUGCCCUGGCAGUCAGAGGCGAUGAAGGACGUGCUAAUCUGCGAUAAGCGUCGGUAAGGUGAUAUGAACCGUUAUAACCGGCGAUUUCCGAAUGGGGAAACCCAGUGUGUUUCGACACACUAUCAUUAACUGAAUCCAUAGGUUAAUGAGGCGAACCGGGGGAACUGAAACAUCUAAGUACCCCGAGGAAAAGAAAUCAACCGAGAUUCCCCCAGUAGCGGCGAGCGAACGGGGAGCAGCCCAGAGCCUGAAUCAGUGUGUGUGUUAGUGGAAGCGUCUGGAAAGGCGCGCGAUACAGGGUGACAGCCCCGUACACAAAAAUGCACAUGCUGUGAGCUCGAUGAGUAGGGCGGGACACGUGGUAUCCUGUCUGAAUAUGGGGGGACCAUCCUCCAAGGCUAAAUACUCCUGACUGACCGAUAGUGAACCAGUACCGUGAGGGAAAGGCGAAAAGAACCCCGGCGAGGGGAGUGAAAAAGAACCUGAAACCGUGUACGUACAAGCAGUGGGAGCACGCUUAGGCGUGUGACUGCGUACCUUUUGUAUAAUGGGUCAGCGACUUAUAUUCUGUAGCAAGGUUAACCGAAUAGGGGAGCCGAAGGGAAACCGAGUCUUAACUGGGCGUUAAGUUGCAGGGUAUAGACCCGAAACCCGGUGAUCUAGCCAUGGGCAGGUUGAAGGUUGGGUAACACUAACUGGAGGACCGAACCGACUAAUGUUGAAAAAUUAGCGGAUGACUUGUGGCUGGGGGUGAAAGGCCAAUCAAACCGGGAGAUAGCUGGUUCUCCCCGAAAGCUAUUUAGGUAGCGCCUCGUGAAUUCAUCUCCGGGGGUAGAGCACUGUUUCGGCAAGGGGGUCAUCCCGACUUACCAACCCGAUGCAAACUGCGAAUACCGGAGAAUGUUAUCACGGGAGACACACGGCGGGUGCUAACGUCCGUCGUGAAGAGGGAAACAACCCAGACCGCCAGCUAAGGUCCCAAAGUCAUGGUUAAGUGGGAAACGAUGUGGGAAGGCCCAGACAGCCAGGAUGUUGGCUUAGAAGCAGCCAUCAUUUAAAGAAAGCGUAAUAGCUCACUGGUCGAGUCGGCCUGCGCGGAAGAUGUAACGGGGCUAAACCAUGCACCGAAGCUGCGGCAGCGACGCUUAUGCGUUGUUGGGUAGGGGAGCGUUCUGUAAGCCUGUGAAGGUGUGCUGUGAGGCAUGCUGGAGGUAUCAGAAGUGCGAAUGCUGACAUAAGUAACGAUAAAGCGGGUGAAAAGCCCGCUCGCCGGAAGACCAAGGGUUCCUGUCCAACGUUAAUCGGGGCAGGGUGAGUCGACCCCUAAGGCGAGGCCGAAAGGCGUAGUCGAUGGGAAACAGGUUAAUAUUCCUGUACUUGGUGUUACUGCGAAGGGGGGACGGAGAAGGCUAUGUUGGCCGGGCGACGGUUGUCCCGGUUUAAGCGUGUAGGCUGGUUUUCCAGGCAAAUCCGGAAAAUCAAGGCUGAGGCGUGAUGACGAGGCACUACGGUGCUGAAGCAACAAAUGCCCUGCUUCCAGGAAAAGCCUCUAAGCAUCAGGUAACAUCAAAUCGUACCCCAAACCGACACAGGUGGUCAGGUAGAGAAUACCAAGGCGCUUGAGAGAACUCGGGUGAAGGAACUAGGCAAAAUGGUGCCGUAACUUCGGGAGAAGGCACGCUGAUAUGUAGGUGAAGUCCCUCGCGGAUGGAGCUGAAAUCAGUCGAAGAUACCAGCUGGCUGCAACUGUUUAUUAAAAACACAGCACUGUGCAAACACGAAAGUGGACGUAUACGGUGUGACGCCUGCCCGGUGCCGGAAGGUUAAUUGAUGGGGUCAGCGCAAGCGAAGCUCCUGAUCGAAGCCCCGGUAAACGGCGGCCGUAACUAUAACGGUCCUAAGGUAGCGAAAUUCCUUGUCGGGUAAGUUCCGACCUGCACGAAUGGCGUAAUGAUGGCCAGGCUGUCUCCACCCGAGACUCAGUGAAAUUGAACUCGCUGUGAAGAUGCAGUGUACCCGCGGCAAGACGGAAAGACCCCGUGAACCUUUACUAUAGCUUGACACUGAACAUUGAGCCUUGAUGUGUAGGAUAGGUGGGAGGCUUUGAAGUGUGGACGCCAGUCUGCAUGGAGCCGACCUUGAAAUACCACCCUUUAAUGUUUGAUGUUCUAACGUUGACCCGUAAUCCGGGUUGCGGACAGUGUCUGGUGGGUAGUUUGACUGGGGCGGUCUCCUCCUAAAGAGUAACGGAGGAGCACGAAGGUUGGCUAAUCCUGGUCGGACAUCAGGAGGUUAGUGCAAUGGCAUAAGCCAGCUUGACUGCGAGCGUGACGGCGCGAGCAGGUGCGAAAGCAGGUCAUAGUGAUCCGGUGGUUCUGAAUGGAAGGGCCAUCGCUCAACGGAUAAAAGGUACUCCGGGGAUAACAGGCUGAUACCGCCCAAGAGUUCAUAUCGACGGCGGUGUUUGGCACCUCGAUGUCGGCUCAUCACAUCCUGGGGCUGAAGUAGGUCCCAAGGGUAUGGCUGUUCGCCAUUUAAAGUGGUACGCGAGCUGGGUUUAGAACGUCGUGAGACAGUUCGGUCCCUAUCUGCCGUGGGCGCUGGAGAACUGAGGGGGGCUGCUCCUAGUACGAGAGGACCGGAGUGGACGCAUCACUGGUGUUCGGGUUGUCAUGCCAAUGGCACUGCCCGGUAGCUAAAUGCGGAAGAGAUAAGUGCUGAAAGCAUCUAAGCACGAAACUUGCCCCGAGAUGAGUUCUCCCUGACUCCUUGAGAGUCCUGAAGGAACGUUGAAGACGACGACGUUGAUAGGCCGGGUGUGUAAGCGCAGCGAUGCGUUGAGCUAACCGGUACUAAUGAACCGUGAGGCUUAACCUUACAACGCCGAAG